rnacentral:tRNA from 1 species
GGGUGAUUAGCUCAGUUGGUAGAGCAUCUCCUUUACAGGGAGGGGGUCGGCGGUUCGGUCGGCGGUUCGAGCCCGUCAUCACCCA